CAGUGGGUACGGGCAGACUAGAGUGCGGUAGGGGAGAUUGGAAUUCCUGGUGUAGCGGUGGAAUGCGCAGAUAUCAGGAGGAACACCGAUGGCGAAGGCAGAUCUCUGGGCCGUUACUGACGCUGAGGAGCGAAAGCGUGGGGAGCGAACAGGAUUAGAUACCCUGGUAGUCCACGCCGUAAACGUUGGGAACUAGAUGUGGGGUCCAUUCCACGGAUUCCGUGUCGCAGCUAACGCAUUAAGUUCCCCGCCUGGGGAGUACGGCCGCAAGGCUAAAACUCAAAGGAAUUGACGGGGGCCCGCACAAGCGGCGGAGCAUGCGGAUUAAUUCGAUGCAACGCGAAGAACCUUACCAAGGCUUGACAUGCACCUGAAAAGGCUGGAAACAGUCUCCUCGCAAGACAGGUGCACAGGUGGUGCAUGGUUGUCGUCAGCUCGUGUCGUGAGAUGUUGGGUUAAGUCCCGCAACGAGCGCAACCCUCGUUUUAUGUUGCCAGCGCGUUAUGGCGGGAACUCAUAGGAGACUGCCGGGGUCAACUCGGAGGAAGGUGGGGAUGACGUCAAAUCAUCAUGCCCCUUAUGUCUUGGGCUUCACGCAUGCUACAAUGGCCGGUACAAAGGGCUGCAAUACCGUAAGGUGGAGCGAAUCCCAAAAAGCCGGUCUCAGUUCGGAUUGAGGUCUGCAACUCGACCUCAUGAAGUCGGAGUCGCUAGUAAUCGCAGAUCA
rnacentral:rRNA from 1 species